rnacentral:rRNA from 1 species
GACGAACCGGACAAACGUUAUUCGGAAUUACUGGGCUUAAAGGGUUUGUAGGCGGCCUUGUAAGUCAGGUGUGAAAUCCCUCGGCUCAACCGAGGAAUAGCGCUUGAUACUGCAAGGCUUGAGGGAGACAGGGGUAAGCGGAACUGAUGGUGGAGCGGUGAAAUGCGUUGAUAUCAUCAGGAACACCGGUGGCGAAAGCGGCUACUGGGUCUCUUCUGACGCUGAGGUACGAAAGCUAGGGUAGCGAACGGG